rnacentral:rRNA from 1 species
UCGCUCUUCAACGAGGAAUCCCUAGUAAGCGCGAGUCAUUAGCUCGCGUUGAUUACGUCCCUGCCCUUUGUACACACCGCCCGUCGCUACUACCGAUUGAAUGGCUUAGUGAGACUUUCGGAUGUGUUUGGAGCCGCUGGCGACAGCGACACCUUGCGCAGAAGUUAUUCAAACUUGGUCAUUUAGAGGAAGUAAAAGUCGUAACAAGGUUUCCGUAGGUGAACCUGCGGAAGGAUCAUUAAAAAAAAAUUUAAUGAAUGUCGGGGGGCUUUUUUGCCUCCCGAGUAUUCAACCAACCCCGCUCGUGUAUUUGUACCAAACAAACAAAAUUUUUUAAAAUUAAUAAAAUAAUUAAUAAAAAAAAAAACUUUCAACAACGGAUCUCUUGGCUCUCGCAUCGAUGAAGAACGCAGCGAAAUGCGAUAAGUAGUGUGAAUUGCAGAACUUUGUGAACCAUCGAAUCUUUGAACGCAAAUUGCGCCUUUUUCGGAAGGCAUGUCUGUUUGAGGGCACCAUUUAACAAAAUAAUGUGCACCGUUUUGUGUGGUGCACACGUUGAUGAGCUUUCCAAGGAAAAAAUUUUUUUUUUUGGUGGCGCAUAAUGAACAGCGCGAAAGCCUUUUUUUCAGUUCGAGUGUAGUAAAAUCUUUGCUUGGGUUGUGAAAAGCAAGUAGCGCAAUGGGUGUGGCAAUUUUGUAAUCCCCUGCCCCAAUGCCACUCUUUCUCGCGAAAGAAUGUUAUAAUCUUCAGGGCCUCAAAUCAGACAAGAGUACCCGCUGAACUUAAGCAUAUCAAUAAGCGGAGGAAAAGAAACUAACAAGGAUUCCCCCAGUAACGGCGAGUGAAGCGGGAACAGCUCAAAUUUUAAAUCUGGCUGCUUCGCAGUCCGAGUUGUAAUUUGAAGGCGUCUGUCGCUUGUGAGACGAUGACACAAGUCCUCUGGAACGUGGCAUCGUAGAGGGUGAGAAUCCCGUCUCUGGUCGUUGUCUUGCAGGCACACGGCAGGCGAUCCGAAGAGUCGAGUUGUUUGGGAUUGCAGCUCCAAAUGGGUGGUAAACUCCAUCUAAGGCUAAAUAUUGGCGAGAGACCGAUAGCGAACAAGUACCGUGAGGGAAAGAUGAAAAGAACUUUGAAAAGAGAGUAAAACAGUACGUGAAAUUGUUGAAAGGGAAACGCUUGAAGUCAGUCGUGCCGGCGGGGAUUCAGCGAACUUCGCGGAGUGAGCGUAUUUCCUCGCAUGGCAGGUCAGCGUCAGUUUUGCGCGUCGUGAAAGGGCUCGGGUAAGGUGACUCUCUUCGGGGAGUGUUAUAGACCUGAGCAGAUGCGAUGCGCGGGACUGAGGAUUGCAGCGAACACCCCUCGGGGCGCGGCGACCGAUCCCUGCUCUGUCACCUUCGCCCGAUAGCGUGCUAACGGUCGGGGGAGCGGCGGUUGCACCGGGUUGGCAAGCCGGCGGCUUUCGCUAAGGAUGCUGGCGUAAUGGCUUUAAACGACCCGUCUUGAAACACGGACCAAGGAGUCUAACAUAUGUGCGAGUGUUU